rnacentral:misc_RNA from 1 species
UGCCUGUUCGAGCGUCAUUACACCCCUCAAAUAUCACUAUUUGAUGUUGGGCACUGCCGGGAGGCAUGCCUAAAAUUUAGCGACGGUGACAACCAACCUCAGGCGUACAAGCAUCGCCAUGGCGGACGGUUGGGGCCUGUCUUCAACUACAAAUUCUAAAUGUUGACCUCGGAUCAGGUAGGAAUACCCGCUGAACUUAA